rnacentral:rRNA from 1 species
CCUACGGGAGGCAGCAGUAGGGAAUCUUCCACAAUGGGCGAAAGCCUGAUGGAGCAACGCCGCGUAGGUGAAGAAGGUCUUCGGAUCGUAAAACCCUGUUGUUAGAGAAGAAAGUGCGUGAGAGUAACUGUUCACGUUUCGACGGUAUCUAACCAGAAAGCCACGGCUAACUACGUGCCAGCAGCCGCGGUAAUACGUAGGUGGCAAGCGGUAUCCGGAUUGAUUGGGCGUAAAGGGAACGCAGGCGGUUUUUUAAGUCUGAUGUGAAAGCCUUCGGCUUAACCGGAGUAGUGCAUUGGAAACUGGGAGACUUGAGUUCAGACGAGGAGAGGGGAACAACAUGAGUAGCGGUGAAAUGCGUAGAUAUAUGGAAGAACACCAGUGGCGAAGGCGGCUCUCUGGUCUGUAACUGACGCUGAGGUUCGAGAGCGUGGGUAGCAAACAGGAUUAGAUACCCUAGUAGUC